ACAAAAAUAUAAGCUUUAAUGACUAAUAAUUGUUAUUGGAAGUUAAGCAGUUUGGUUGUAAUAUGGGAUAGGAUAUUGGCACAGUAUAGCACAAUACAAUUCCGUACAUAUAAUGUACAAUGUAGUGACGAAUCACAUGUUACAGUAUUAGGAUUAUAGUUCAUAAGUGAAACGCUCUCUCAACAAGGUUGCUGGGUACCACUACACAGAAACUCACUAUGAACUAAUAACUAAUAAACUAAUUUUACGCACGUAGCCUAUGAUUAGUGUGAGACAGACAACAAUCAGUUACAUUCAACUCAUUUAUUUAUAUAUUUAGGAUCCCCAUUAGUUACCUCAGUAACAACUAUGCUUCCUGGGGUCCACACAAAAGACAAGACAAGAUAAGACAUUCAAA